GACUGUUCAUAGGCAGUUACAGAUCAAUUGAACUCAUUAUUCUGCUCUUUCCCCACUUUUCACCACUGCACUUAACCAGUCUUUA
ensembl:misc_RNA Y_RNA Y RNA